rnacentral:tRNA from 1 species
GGGGAUUUAGCUAAGUGGUAGAGCGCUUGCCUAGCAAGUGCAAGGCCCUGGGUUCGGUCCCCAGCUCCA